ensembl:misc_RNA Metazoa_SRP Metazoan signal recognition particle RNA
GCUGGGUGUGGUGAUGCACCCCUGUAAUCCCAGCUACUUGGGAGGCUGAGGCAGGAGAAUUGCUUGAACCUGGGAGGCAGAGGUUGGCAGUGAGCCGAGAUCGCACCACUGCACUCCAGCCUGGGUGACAGAGCAAGACCCUGUCUCAA